CCAGCGUCGGGACGGGGCCCGGACUCGGCCGCUGCUCCACCGCGAAGCGCGGCGCCAGGAAGCGGCCAUCUCUCCGGAGCAGCAGGUGCUGUAAUCGUACCUUUGCAAAGAUUUCUCCUCUCAUUAGAGGAAGGCUGACCACGCCAGGAUGUUUAAAACGAGGUCGAGAGAAGUGCACUUCGCUCGCGAGCGUGACCCUCUCAUCUGCACCCGCACGCUUUUUAUUGCUACCUACUGAGCCCUGCUCGCCGCGCACCGGCUGCACCAGCCCUGCCCGCCCGUGCGUUCUCGGUUUCCGCCGGGGAAGGUGGAAAGCAAGCCCAAAGUCUCGGGAGAACUUACCUGAAACGAUCCCAUUCGACAAGACCCCCAGCUGGUAAAGGAGGCAGCAGCAGCAGAUGUCUACAUGGUACCCACUCCCUUUUCCACACCUCUUCCUUGGCCACAUCAAACCUUUCACAUCAGUCUCAAGGGUGAUUGAUCUAACCUGCCAUAUGCAUCCUCUGGACUAGGCCAGUCACCUAGAAAUGAGUUAAUGCAAAUCAGUUUUUUUUUUUUUUUAAUUCCAGCAGGAGAUUGGUUCCCCACUUCCUUUGUUAUUUUACCUUCCGCUCUCCGUGUCAGAGGUGACUACUAUGCCUUUAAGGGAGCCAGACUAUCUUAUUUCAAAGGAAAGCCAUUGUUUGAAUAAGCCGAGUCUUAGAAUACUUUCUUUGAGUUGUCCUGAGUUUAAAAACAAAUACGAAGACACUCUAGGUGUGUUUGUCAAAAGUUCUCUGCCUCCAAACCUUGUCUUAUAAAAUCUCAAAAACCAGAGUAACUAGGGUGGGUGUGGAUUUCUAGACAUUCAAGAAAUAUCUGGGUUACUUAGAAACCUACACACUCCUUUUUAUGGGACUCAAUUAUACAGCCUUAAAACUGGGCAAGAAAUCAAAGGCAGUUUAUUUUUAACAAAUAGAAUGAGUUAUUAAGACAGAAGCUAGUUUUAAUGAAACAUCUCCACUAGGAUAUAAGUCUUAAAUGUCUCAUCUAAUUUGAACAACAAUGACAACAAAAAUAUGAGACUAAAAUUGCAGAAGGAAUGCAUAUUAAAUUGUCUGUAUUUACCGGAAUACAUUUGUGAUUCUUUAAAAAUGAUUAAAUUAAAUAUACUCAGAAGCACAGGUCACCAAUAUAAGUUCCUUUCUCUGUCCUUUUUUGUCCCUACUGACACAUGAUCCCUGAUUGUCAUGGAAAGGUUUGCCUAACUCCCCACUAGCUAUAAUCUUUCUCCCAUUUGAAAUACUGUUAUAAUUUAUUUGUAUGUUUUCUAAGGCUUUUAUAAAUCAUUUGGUUUGUGUACAUUAUGUA